CCUACGGGAGGCAGCAGUGGGGAAUUUUGGACAAUGGGCGAAAGCCUGAUCCAGCAAUGCCGCGUGAGUGAAGAAGGCCUUCGGGUUGUAAAGCUCUUUUGUCAGGGAAGAAACGGUGAGAGCUAAUAUCUCUUGCUAAUGACGGUACCUGAAGAAUAAGCACCGGCUAACUACGUGCCAGCAGCCGCGGUAAUACGUAGGGUGCAAGCGUUAAUCGGAAUUACUGGGCGUAAAGCGUGCGCAGGCGGUUUUGUAAGUCUGUCGUGAAAUCCCCGGGCUCAACCUGGGAAUUGCGAUGGAGACUGCAAGGCUAGAAUCUGGCAGAGGGGGGUAGAAUUCCACGUGUAGCAGUGAAAUGCGUAGAGAUGUGGAGGAACACCGAUGGCGAAGGCAGCCCCCUGGGUCAAGAUUGACGCUCAUGCACGAAAGCGUGGGGAGCAAACAGGAUUAGAUACCCUGGUAGUCCACGCCCUAAACGAUGUCUACUAGUUGUCGGGUUUUAAUUAACUUGGUAACACAGCUAACGCGUGAAGUAGACCGCCUGGGGAGUACGGUCGCAAGNUUAAAACUAAGAAGUAGAGNGNGNGAGNGNGAGAGAGAGAGAGAG
rnacentral:rRNA from 1 species